GUACACUCCUACGGGAGGCAUCAGUGGGGAAUAUUGGACAAUGGGCGCAAGCCUGAUCCAGCCAUGCCGCGUGAGUGAUGAAGGCCCUAGGGUUGUAAAGCUCUUUCACCGGUGAAGAUAAUGACGGUAACCGGAGAAGAAGCCCCGGCUAACUUCGUGCCAGCAGCCGCGGUAAUACGAAGGGGGCUAGCGUUGUUCGGAUUUACUGGGCGUAAAGCGCACGUAGGCGGACUAUUAAGUCAGGGGUGAAAUCCCGGGGCUCAACCCCGGAACUGCCUUUGAUACUGGUAGUCUUGAGUUCGAGAGAGGUGAGUGGAAUUCCGAGUGUAGAGGUGAAAUUCGUAGAUAUUCGGAGGAACACCAGUGGCGAAGGCGGCUCACUGGCUCGAUACUGACGCUGAGGUGCGAAAGCGUGGGGAGCAAACAGGAUUAGAAACCCCAGUAGUCCCAUG
rnacentral:rRNA from 1 species